AUUGACCGCUGGCGGCAGGCCUAACACAUGCAAGUCGAGCGAGCGGCGGACGGGUGAGUAAUGUAUGGGGCCUGCCCGAUAGAGGGGGAUAACUACUGGAAACGGUAGCUAAUACCGCAUACUAUCGGAUAACCCAUAUGGGAUUAGCUAGUCGGUGGGGUAAUGGCUCACCUAGGAGACGCUCCCUAGCUGGUCUGAGAGGAUGAUCAGGCACAAGGUGACGGAGACACGGCCCAGACUCCUACGGAGGCAGCAGUGGGGAAUAUGGCACAAUGGGCGCAAGCCUUAUGCAGCCAUGCCGGGUGUAUGAAGAAGGCCCUAGGGUUGUAAAGUACUUUCAGUCGGGAGGCGUUACCGACAGAAGAAGCACCGGCUAACGCCGUGCCAGCCGCCGCGGUAAUUC
rnacentral:rRNA from 1 species